GACGAACGCUGGCGGCGUGCUUAACACAUGCAAGUCGAACGAUGAAGCCUAGCUUGCUAGGUGGAUUAGUGGCGAACGGGUGAGUAAUACGUGAGUAACCUACCUUUAACUCUGGGAUAAGCCCGGGAAACUGGGUCUAAUACCGGAUACGACCAAUCUCCGCAUGGGGUGUUGGUGGAAAGCGUUAUGUAGUGGUUAUAGAUGGGCUCACGGCCUAUCAGCUUGUUGGUGAGGUAACGGCUCACCAAGGCGACGACGGGUAGCCGGCCUGAGAGGGUGACCGGCCACACUGGGACUGAGACACGACCCAGACUCCUACGGGAGGCAGCAGUGGGGAAUAUUGCACAAUGGGCGCAAGCCUGAUGCAGCGACGCCGCGUGAGGGAUGACGGCCUUCGGGUUGUAAACCUCUGUUAGCAGGGAAGAAGAGAGAUUGACGGUACCUGCAGAGAAAGCGCCGGCUAACUACGU
rnacentral:rRNA from 1 species